UACGGAGGGUGCAAGCGUUGUCCGGAUUUAUUGGGUUUAAAGGGUGCGUAGGCGGGCUAGUAAGUCAGCGGUGAAAUCCAGCAGCUCAACUGUUGAAUUGCCAUUGAUACUGCGGGUCUUGAGUUGGGCCGAGGUGACAGGAAUGUGUGGUGUAGCGGUGAAAUGCAUAGAUAUCACACAGAACACCGAUUGCGAAGGCAAGUCACUAGGCUCAAACUGACGCUGAGGCACGAAAGCGUGGGGAUCAAACAGG
rnacentral:rRNA from 1 species